UACAGAGGUCCCAAGCGUUGUUCGGAUUCACUGGGCGUAAAGGGUGCGUAGGUGGUGAGGUAAGUCGGAUGUGAAAGCUCGGAGCUCAACUCCGAAAUGGCAUUGGAAACUACCUUGCUCGAGGGUUGGAGGGGGGACUGGAAUGCUUGGUGUAGCAGUGAAAUGCGUAGAUAUCAAGCGGAACACCAGCGGCGAAGGCGAGUCCCCUGGACAACUCCUGACACUGAGGCACGAAAGCUAGGGGAGCAAACAGG
rnacentral:rRNA from 1 species